CCGAGAAUUUGUGAGGUCUCUUAUUUGGCCAUAACUUUUUUAUUUUUCAAUGAAUCAAGACAUAUUUGGUAUAUUUUUACUCAGAAUUGCAUGUUCUUUUUGAAUUGAGCAAGGUUUAUUACUUGCAAGACAAACUUUGAAAGUUAAAGGUGGCAGAGGAUAGUUUCGAAUAAAGUACCGGUCAAAAAAUAGAAAAAAUAGAGAAACCUGAGGUUUGAAUGCAUAUUAUAGGUAAUUUUAUAGCUAGAAUAUUUUAUGGGUGCAUUUGGAGGGAAUUGGUGGCCUUGUAUAUUUUAUUGAAAUAUGACACUUUAGUGUCACUACUACUGUAUAUGGGAUAUGGACUAGAAAUACGAAACUAAGCUCAAAACUCGCUCUACCGGUAUUUCACCAGAAAAGCGGGGUGGGUUCACAGGAUGAAUUGUAGCUUGAAAACGAGGUGGUUGAGCCAUUAUCUCUUGCUGUUCAUUGGUAUGUACAAAUGUUAUUCUGCAAUUUGUGUGGUAGCUUAGGUCAGGCGCACGGGCCUGGAAGCAGAUGCGGCUGCGGCGAAAUAGUGAAAAUAGGCUUGAUUUGCAUGAAAUUUUGAGAUUGUCCCUGCGCGAUCUUUAGGGCUCAUUGUGUAAGUUGUACAUGUUUUAUUCCUAAAAGCUUCAAAUUUCUCAAGGGACUAUAUCAUACUAUUAUUACAUGUAGAGGGAAUUUAAAAUUUUUCAAUGCACAUUUUUAAAGCAGCUCAAUAUUAAGUAAACCGUCAGUCAAACGUUUUGAUUGCAAAAAAAACUAUCCUCUGCCACCUGUGAUACCUGUAAACAACAACAUGAUCCGAAAUCUGAACGUCAAUUUUCAUGAUUAUUUCACGACGAAGAUCAUCACAUCAAUGAAUCAAAUAAUACGGAUAUGCCUUUGGUAUUAGCAGGGUGCAACAAUACUUUCAUCUGUGAAUAUCCACUUUCUAAGCCCACGAUGAACUACGAAGGUCAAUAAAUAUGUAAGGACACCAAUGAACAGACACUUUCCAAUUAUCGUACAUCAUAUACAUGGGUGGUCAAACUCACUGGAUGGUUUAUCAACACUCCCAUGCUCACGAACAGCCUUGACCCAGGAAUUUUGCCCUGAAGUAACAUUGCAGUCUAUUGUCUCCUUUCUUUUUGCUACCCUGGCAGCCGUUUAGGUAUGAAAUCUAUGAAAGCUAUGAAGGGAUAUAGAAUUUUAAAAAAUUUAUAAAAGUAAACCGAGUUCUUGAUUUAUACAAUCCGUUCUCUGGGAUUGACAAUCUGUUAUAACAAAUUGCCAAUUCAUUCUCACAGAUUAUCAAUUCAUUCCCUCAAAUUACACAAUCCGUUAUCUCAGAUUGUAUAAUUCAUUCUCUUAGUUUAAAUGAUUCAUUCCCCCGGAAUGUAAACCCUUCCCAUGAUUUCAUUUAAAUUAUAUAUCUGUACAUAUCGGAUACCAUGUAUGGUAAUACAUGUUUAAAAAAUAGAAUAUUGUAGUAUUUUACAUCCUAACUUUUAUUACAUAUUAUGGU